GUGCCAGCAGCCGCGGUAAUACGGAGGAUUCAAGCGUUAUCCGGAAUCAUUGGGUUUAAAGGGUCCGUAGGCGGAAUGAUAAGUCAGUGGUGAAAGUUUGUGGCUCAACCAUAAAAUUGCCAUUGAUACUGUUGUUCUUGAGUUAUUAUGAAGUGGUUAGAAUGUGUAGUGUAGCGGUGAAAUGCAUAGAUAUUGCACAGAAUACCAAUUGCGAAGGCAGAUCACUAAUAAUAUACUGACGCUGAUGGACGAAAGCGUAGGUAGCGAACAGGAUUAGAAACCCUUGUAGUCC
rnacentral:rRNA from 1 species